GACGAACGCUGGCGGCGUGCUUAACACAUGCCAGUCGAACGGAAAGGCCCUGCUUUUGUGGGGUGCUCGAGUGGCGAACGGGUGAGUAACACGUGAGUAACCUGCCCUUGACUUUGGGAUAACUUCAGGAAACUGGGGCUAAUCCCGGAUAGGAGCUCCUGCUGCAUGGUGGGGGUUGGAACGUUUAGGCGGUUGGGGAUGGACUCGCGGCUUAUCAGCUUGUUGGUGGGGUAGUGGCUUACCAAGGCUUUGACGGGUAGCCGGCCUGAGAGGGUGACCGGCCACAUGGGGACUGAGAUACGGCCCAGACUCCUACGGGAGGCAGCAGUGGGGAAUAUUGCACAAUGGGCGGAAGCCUGAUGCAGCAACGCCGCGUGCGGGAUGACGGCCUUCGGGUUGUAAACCGCUUUCGCCUGUGACGAAGCGUGAGUGACGGUAAUGGGUAAAGAAGCACCGGCUAACUACGUG
rnacentral:rRNA from 1 species